rnacentral:rRNA from 1 species
AUUGAACGCUGGCGGCAUGCUUUACACAUGCAAGUCGAACGGCAGCACGGACUUCGGUCUGGUGGCGAGUGGCGAACGGGUGAGUAAUACAUCGGAACGUACCCAGUAAUGGGGGAUAACUAUCCGAAAGGAUAGCUAAUACCGCAUACGCCCUACGGGGGAAAGAGGGGGAUCGCAAGACCCCUUGUUAUUGGAGCGGCCGAUGGCUGAUUAGCUAGUUGGUGGGGUAAAGGCCUACCAAGGCAACGAUCAGUAGCGGGUCUUAGAGGACGAGCCGCCACACUGGAACUGAGACACGGUCCAGACUCCUACGGGAGGCAGCAGUGGGGAAUCUUGGACGAUGGGCGCAAGCCUGAUCCAGCAAUGCCGCGUGCGUGAAGAAGGCCUUCGGGUUGUAAAGCGCUUUUGUCCGGGAAGAAACGGUUUCAACUAAUACUUGAGACUACUGACGGUAUCGGAAGAAUAAGGACCGGCUAACUACGUGCCAGCAGCCGCCGUAAUAC